AGAUGUUGUGUUUACACGUGGACGCCCGGUGGAACUGAGCGCUGUACAGCUGACGCUUGCGUGGAACUGAGCGGCCCAUUCGCCAAGCGAUCCAUCUCGUUGGAGCGUCGGAAGACCGAUCGUCACAAUGGAGUUUUUAUACAUGAUUUUACUCAUGCUGAUCCCCGGGGGAAUAAUCGGUCUCGUCGCUCGGAAACUGCUGCUUCAGUACCACGAUAGGGAGCGGAGAGCUGAAGAGAAGCGAGCUCUCCGUCAGCAAAAAAAGGAACAGGAGGCGAGACGUGCUCAACAGCCGAAAAGUCCCAGAUCUCGAAAAGCUCAAUGAGGGCAACGCAUCGAACUCGCCGUCAAACUGAUCGACGGACCGAUGUUCUUCUAAAUUUCAUUCCGCGUGCCUUCCUGGAGUUAAGCUGACGGUUGGAGAUUCAAAAUGCUUGGCAAUAUGAGCGGCGUGAGUGUCAAGAAUGGAUGCUCGGCUUGAUGAAUGUGUACAAUAAAAUAUAGGAUCGGCUCGAGCCGCGAAUGAAUCGCCACCAGUUUUG